CAAACAGAAAAAAACGAAAUUGAAGUGAUAGAUUGGCAAAAACGACAACUGUACAACCUACUUGACAGCCCAACUAAAAGCAAAUUAGAGAAGUACUGGAACAAGGCAGAACAAAGCGUAUUAUUCUGGGAGGGAAAAGAGCCUGGAAGCGAAAUCACAAGGGCAGAUGUCAAAAUGUUCAUAAGCGAUCAAUCAAUAGCAAACAACUGGAUUGAUUGCUAUGGGGAAAUGUUGAAGGAUGAACUGCAAAACGAAAGUUCACAAAGUUUGGGAAGAUCUGCUUUUAUGCAUAGCAUGUGUUGGUAUUCGACAAUACAUUUAACUGUGAGAAACCUCCAUCAAUACUUGUGUGAGCCGCUGUUCCAAAACAUGGGAAAAUGCAGCAUGCUUUUCUUCCCAAUUACCCAUAAUGAAGAAUUUCACCACACGCUCUUGGUCUUUGACAAGGACAUACCGCAAUGGCUGCAUUUUGAUUCAAUGAAACCAAG